rnacentral:rRNA from 1 species
ACAGAGGGGGCAAGCGUUGUUCGGAAUUACUGGGCGUAAAGGGCGCGUAGGCGGCCUGUUAAGUCGAACGUGAAAUCCCCGGGCUCAACCCGGGAACUGCGUCCGAUACUGGCAGGCUUGAAUCCGGGAGAGGGAUGCGGAAUUCCAGGUGUAGCGGUGAAAUGCGUAGAUAUCUGGAGGAACACCGGUGGCGAAGGCGGGUUGCUGGGCCGACACUGACGCUGAGGCGCGAAAGCUAGGGGAGCGAACGGGA